rnacentral:misc_RNA from 1 species
UCUCCGUAGGUGAACCUGCGGAGGGAUCAUUACAGAGUUCAUGCCCUACCGGGUAGAUCUCCCACCCUAUGUUAUUAUUACUUUGUUGCUUUGGCGGGCCGUUAGGCUCCGGCCCGACUACCGGCCCCGGCUGGUAAGCGCCCGCCAGAGGACCCAAAACCCUGAAUAUCAGUGUCGUCUGAGUACUAUAUAAUAGUUAAAACUUUCAACAACGGAUCUCUUGGUUCUG